UAUGAGCUGAGAAAAAUUAGAGGAGAAGCUGACAAUGAGUGUCCUGCUUGUGAUAAACCCCUUUAGCAGUACAUAUUGAUGGCAACAAGAAGCUGUAUCGUUACAACAAAGUUGGGAGAGGUAUCAGAAACCCCUAUUAUUCUGAUAGUAUCUUCAGCAAAGAUGAAGAUGUUCAAGCUCAUGUUGGCACUAUUCAGAGCUUGAAAACUAAGGUAUUGUAUGGAGGGCGGUGGCAAGAAGGAAGUGGCAUGACUUUAGGGGAAGAGGCAGAGCAAGUGUUUGCAUACCUCUCACGAUACAACUCUACAACUAAAAACAUGCUGAAAGCUG